GCCGCCUGGCAGCCGCGCGGCUUCCCCGUUUCGCCCAGGCCUCGGGGCCGCGCUGGCCGAAACGGCGCUCGACGGCGACCCGCGGGGGGAGAAAGCGCUUCUGCCUUUUUUUUUUUUUAAAUAAACUAAGGAAGCUGUAUGCAAACCAAGUCAAACUCAAUCAAUGUUGUAGUUAACAUUAAAAUGCUCGGAGGCGGCUCUGUUUAAAGCUCUCUGUGCAGCCCUGUGUGUGUUUGUCCUACUUUCCUCGCAGCUUUCCCGAAACACCUCCGCAGGAUUUGCAAGCGCUCGGCGGCGCUCCGGGGGUUGCUGCCCCGUACAGAACGGGACACCGAGCUUCGCCGCCCUGCAUCUGCGCUGAGACGGGCGUAAUUCAGCCAAACGCGGGUUACGGCUUUCAGGGUAAUCCUGUAUCCCUUGCAAAUAUGGAAGGACUGCAGGACAUCACUUCAGUACAUACCAGUAACCACCAAAGGAAACUUUGCGAAGGGGCUGCUUGUUAUAUAUAAGCAUACUGGGAUGAAGACUGGUCACCUAUUUACUAGCUUUCCUGAAAAAACAACAGAGCAUCUUCCAUAUGAGACCAGACGCUUAAGUCCUGGAUGGGACACAGUCACUUACUGUCCUAGGGCCUCACUUGGCAUGGGGAAGGUGAACAAGGACAGAAAAGAGAGUGGCCUAGAAAGCGGCAGCAUCAAAAAGAAACAGACAACGCGCACACAAACUGAGGAGCUUGUUUCCGUAGGGUAUUGUGGAUACUGAAAAGUUGCAGGGGCUUAAGAACCGACUGGACAAAUUCAAGGAAGAAAAGCCCAUCCAGGGCUAUUAAACAUGAACAGACCAUCUCCAGCUCAGGAAGUCUCUGGGCCACAAACCAGUGGUCUGGUGGAGUAUUUAGGAGAAUAAUGACUGUGUACUUGGCCUGUUUUUAUACUAUCUGUAAGCUUUCGCAAUUGGCUGCAGCUGAAGGUAGUUAUCUUUACUGCUCGAUGGAUCUUUUAUCUGGCUCCUUUAGCUCUUGGAGACAUUCUGCAGAAAUCACGACGGCUUAGCUUAUCCUGCUUAGCUGGUCUCUGCUAGUAAGUCUCAGUUCAUCCAGGCAGUGUUCAGAAGGUGAAAGAAAAUGCUCAAAGAGCAAAAAUGCCCCCAGUCUUGCUUUUGUGAAACAGAACUAUCCACCCAGACUCUGUUGUUUGCCAUUACAGACAUCCAAAUUUAGGAAACAUAUGGGCGUGGGCAUAUUUAGAGUCAUUGACCACACGCAUGACAUAGCACUGGUUACUAAAACUGACCUGAGGUUGUUUGUCUUGCAGGAUAUGGUAAGGAGGCUUGGACUGAGUAUCAUUGACUAAGGUCACAAGAGUUAAGCUUGAAAUAGCAGAACUUGAGAACAUUUGGGAUGUAAACAGGUGACUAAAGGGAGCAUGUCAGAGGCUUUUUGCAAGGGAUAAUCAUUGACCAGAACUGUUGGCAUGUAAGCCCUGCUCUGAGAAAGGCUCUACUGCCCAUGUAGCAGCACUAGCAACAAAAAAAAAUUAGCUCUGACUUCAUUGUAAGUUAAUUAUAUUGCUAGGGAUUUGUAAUUCCAGUUGUAUGUCCUAAUAAAUUAAAAGAGUGAUUAUAAACAUGG